CGGCGGGCAGCGCGAGACGGACACCGCGGCGCCGGCCGGCGUCCGGCGGGAUGGACCAGAUCGCGGCGUUCAGCACCGCCCACGCCGCCC
rnacentral:tRNA from 1 species